ensembl:lncRNA
GAUUCCAGAGUCCAAGCUCCAACAGCAAAGAUUUGGGAAGCAGGAAGCAGAAGUGUCCAAAGAAGAAAUUAAGGAAGGCAGUUCUGGGGUUGGAAUCCACUUCUGAUUUCUAACCGUGUGAUGGAGAACUUACUGCCUGCCUCCUAAGAUAACUGGACUCCAUGCUGUGGCUGGAAGGGAUGGGCUCUGGAAUGAUGAGAGGAGAUGAUGGAGGGAUAAACCCGCAGUUCUCAAUGUUUCCUGUCUUACCCUUCCGCAAGUGCUCUGCAAUCAAAACAAGAAAACAGACUCUUCCAAUGGCAUUUAUCCUGACUGAUACCAGAGGAACUGUUACUGAAUCCUUAUGUCUUACCUUUACUUCCGUGGGUUCCUGUUGCUAUCCAGGCCACCGGGGGGUAGUCAAGUCUCUCCAGGGCCUGGAGAUGUAAGAUUGUGGAUGACUCCUGGAAGCCUCAAAGGAGCAGCCGUGCCCAAAACACCACUUUUCUCAGAGCUCUCCUGUGAAGUUGGUACCACAUUUGACACGCAUGAAAACAGGCUCAGAGAGUAGUUCGCAGAUAAUAAACAGCACAGCAGGACUCUGAUGCCGAAGCCUGCUCUGGCAACCACUGUGUUGUGCGGUCUUCACCAUGCUGUUUGAGCACAGAGGACCACCUUGGACUAGGGAGGAGGCAGGGGGAGGACUGUGGAGAGCAGGAGACGUCCAGGAGGAGUUGAUAUCUGAACUGAGCCUUGGAGUAGGAUGGGGCGGGGAGGUUGUUGUUCAGUCACCAAGUCACGUCUGACUCUUUGCAACCCCAUGGACUGCAUGCCAGGCUUCCCUGUCCUUCACUGUCUCCUGGAUCUUGCUCAAAUUCACAUCCAUAGAGUCAGUGAUGCUAUCUAACCAUCUCGUCCUCUGUUGUCCCCUUCUCCUCCUGCCUUCAGUCUUUCUCAGCAUCAGAGUCUUUUCCAAUGAGUCAGCUCUUGGCAUCAGGUGGCCAAAGUAUUGGAGCUUCAACUUCAGCAUCAGUCUUUCCAAUGAAUAUUCAGGGGGUGGGGGGAGAGUCACUGUAAACAGAAGGAUCCACAGUGUGAACAGCACCUGUGUGAUCAGGGUGCAGGGCUGGAAGCAGGUUGCAUGCCCCUAAGAGCGAGUGCCUCCCUAAAUUUGCACCCUGAGCACUUCUCUUGCCCCACCCUCAUCCAAGACCUGACAGGGAGGGUGGAGUUUGGGCAGGAAGAGUUUUGAAGAGAAGGAUCCAGAAAAAGAAGGUGAAUUCAACACAACCUAAGAGACGCAAGUGGUGGUGUCUGGUUUUCAGCAUCUGAAAUGGACUCUCAGGGCACAUCGGUAGAGUCCAAAGUGGAAAACCCAAGAGGAAUGAGAACCGUUAAAAUAACCACGCGAACAACCCUCUCUGCCCAGAUUCCCCACACACCUUUCUUAUGCUCACCUUCCACUCUGGUCUUGGAUAUCACUUCCUCCAGGAAGCAUCCCUGGGUCCCCCAGGCUUGCCUUAGGGCACUUGGGUUCCUAUUUCGGAAUUGCUCUUGGCCUUUCUGUUUCCACACUAGGCUGUGCAUUCCCUGAGGACAGGGGUUGGGUCUUCUGACCCUUCCAUCUCCAGCAGAGCAUGUGGCUCAUAGUAGCUGCUCAGUAACAGACAGUCAGAUGAAAGAAUAACAAACAGCCUCCCAGGGGCCUCUGCCAAGUUCAGGCCAUUUUCUCUUUGUCUCUGGAGUACUGCCAACCUCAGCAUUAGGAAUCCAACAUGUGUUGGAACCAGGAGAAACCUUAAAAAUCAUUUAUUUAUCUCCUUCCUCCCACCUUUUCCGGAUGGGUUGAUUG